rnacentral:rRNA from 1 species
UACAGAGGGUGCGAGCGUUAAUCGGAAUUACUGGGCGUAAAGCGCGCGUAGGCGGCUUUGCAAGUCGGGUGUGAAAUCCCCAGGCUUAACCUGGGAACUGCAUUCGAGACUGCAUUGCUAGAGUAUGGGAGAGGGAAGUGGAAUUUCCGGUGUAGCGGUGAAAUGCGUAGAUAUCGGAAGGAACAUCAGUGGCGAAGGCGGCUACCUGGACAAUGCUGACGCUCAGGCACGAAAGCGUGGGGAGCAAAAGGG